rnacentral:lncRNA from 10 species
UGGGUUGGGGUGACAUGGGACAGAGAGAAGGAGACGGUCACAGGAGGUGAGCUGUGCAUGAGUUCAAGAGGUCAGGAGGUCAGAAGAUUGGAACAAGAGGUGACCAUGGGACUGUCACUCCCACGGAGUUUGCAGAAAUCUUGGGAAGGAAGAAAAUGAUUUUGACGUGUGAAAUGCAGAGUCAAAUAGAUUUCCCAGAAGAAUUUCAACUGUGGAAUGAAGGGCCUGUGGGAGUUAUGAUGAAGCGUCAAGCCUGGAGGGGAGAGAAGAGGGGAGGAAUGGUGUCAAAGAGUGAUUGAUAACAGAAGUGUCCAGAUGUUUUUAUUAUUUACAUUUUACUCCCAGUGCUGUAUGUGUAAAUACUAGCAAGGUUUGGCUAUCUCUGUACAAUUAGACAUGACUUUGGAGCUCUCAGAGGAAGAAUCCUCACAUAUUCGGAGAAUGUGGGGUUUGAGAAGAACUUUGAACGGUGUCCAGCUUUGAAAGAUCUUGGAAAACUUCACAGCCAUCUCAGCUUGCUUGUCAU